GUGCCCGUCCACCGAACGGUCGGCAGGCGAUCCGCGUCGGUCGCGCGAGGUGGUAUGGUUCCCCAGAGGCCGGUUCUUGUGCUGGCUACCCCUUCAGGGGAAGAGUUCCAAACUUGAUGUAAGCCUCCAUCCGGUGCCCUACAAAGGGCGCGGGAGGACAGCGGAGCACCCCCCGCGUUCCACCGAGCCUCCUCGGUCGCGUGGCCCGCGGGGAUGUGNGAUGCUCUCGGACCCAGCGAACGCCGUGGGCGAGGACUCACGUCCCGGUCCCAAGAGAAGCUCCGAUAUAAUGCAAGACGGCCGCUCCCGCCCCCCGACCGCCCCGGCGGCUUGGGGGCGAAGGCGCGGCGUCGCGGAGGAAUGCU
rnacentral:misc_RNA from 1 species